GAUGAACGCUGACAGAAUGCUUAACACAUCAGCCAUUGAUUGGUGGCGGACGGGUGAGUAACGCGUAAAGAACUUGCCUCACAUGUAGGGACAACAUUUGGCAACGAAUGCUAAUCCCUAAUCCUGUGAGAGAGCUUUGCGUCCCAUUAGCUCGUUGGCGAGGUAACGGCUCACCAAGGCGAUGAUGGGUAGCCGGCCUGAGAGAGUGAUCGGCCACAAGGGGACUGGGGCACGGCCCUUACUCCUACGGGAGGCAGCAAUGGGGAGUAUUGGACAAUGGACCAAAGUCUGAUCCAGCAAUUCGGUGUGAACGAUGAAGUUUUCGGAAUGUAAAGUGCUUUCAGUUGGGAAGCGGUACCGACAGAAGAAGCACCGGCUAACUCCGUGCCAGCAGCCGCGGUAAUAC
rnacentral:rRNA from 1 species